ACUUGUGUCUUGUACCUUUGUAUUAGACCCUGGUGCAGAUUGGUGGGCCAGACUGCCUUUCCCCAUUCCCUUCAGCUUAUAGAUCUUUGGUGUGCAUCCAAACCUAAUGCAGUAUAGAGGGAAAGGUCUUCAGGUUCCCAGAGUGUGUAUACACAUGUGGUCAAAGCCCCAGCUCAUUAAAUUAGUAUGUGCAGUGGAGACCAGCUACUGAUUUAUGUUUUCAUCUACGCAAGGUAAAUUGGAUUGAAACUUCACACUGUUUAAAAAGGAGAGCUGAGAUUCUUGCUUACCUUUGAGUUCUAAAUUAGCAGGCACAUGAUGAAGCUUCAUGGACCUGAAGAAGCUGGUUCUGAGUUAAUAUGAUGCCUAUACUGAAUUCACUGCAGCCUUUUGUAUCAGAAACCACAUGUACACAGCCUCACAUUGUGAGACAAGAUUAAUUUAGCUGUUGGCAAAUUAUGUGCCGUAUAAGAAUGUUCUGUGAACGACUUGGGUUGCAAAUUCUACUGCUUAAUUUUUACAAUGCAAAAUACCAGUAACAUGAACUACUGGUUUCAUCUGAACUUUACAGAAAUGUGAAUGACAGGCAGCCAAAAUAAGGAGAUAAAUCGUGAAAAACUAGACAACGUAAGUACUACUGAGUCAUAUAUUAAGGGCCUCAAUAUAAAUGAUAACAUAGAAAAUAGAUAUAAAGUUAAUGGCAAAGGUUUUCGAGCUUCAGACCCUCUAAAAAGAGGUGACCUCAACAAAAUGUGUGAUUCUUAGAUGUAAUUAUAGGGAGCAACACAGGGGUGACUACUGAGAAUAUUUCCAUGUUUCAGUUUAAUAUGUUAUUUUAAUGUUUCUAUAAUCUCUCCACUUUUAGAAACAAAAUUCCUGUUCUCUGUCUCUUUUAAUUGUUUUAGCAAUAGCUGAAGUGAAGCAAACUUCUCAUGAUCUACCUACCUUAGAGAACAGAACCACUCAUUAUUGGUUUGGAAACUCAGUUUUUGGUAUGCUUCCUACCUCUACCAAUUCACUUGAAGCAAGUGUUCCUUACUCAUAUCAGUGAAAUGUAGAAAGAUACUUUCUUGCUCUCUGUAUUGCUGAUGAUAACUUUUACCUUCCAUUUUAUUCCACCUUAAGAUUGUAUUGGUUCCAGUCUUCAUGUUCAUGAGUUCACCUAGAUCAAACAAAUACCUUCACCAGUGCUUUUAGACACCCUUUACUAGCUGAAAACCACACCACAUUUUGCUGCCUGCCCCAGUCCUUCCCCAUAUCUCUGCCAUCAGAAGAGGCCACGCAAGCCUCCCCUAAUGCACUACAAGUAAAGCCAGCCUGGUUAGCUCAUAUCCAUGUUCAUCACCAGGUGAAAUGACUCUGGCUGCCUUAACUUAAACAGAUUAGGUGAUUUGUGAUCCCUUGUGCUAAUGGAGCAGUAUGUUGGGUUCUUGGAAGACAGCAAUAAGUGCUAGAAACAGUGCUUUCAUCUCCCAGAGGAGCUUUCUUGUGGUCUCAGGUUUUCACAGCACUCCCAUCCUUGAACCCAAUCUUGUACCCCUCAACUUCUGUGUUUUUUCUGCAUAUGUUGCCUUUAUUUUUACUUUAGCUGCCAGAACUAAAGAUAUAUUUUGACAUUUUAAAUUAGUCUUCUCUGUUCAGCUUGCUCUACCUGUCUUUAUUAAUUAAACUUGGGUCUUCAUAUUAGGGUCCUUCAGUUCAUCUCUUCCAGUUUCAGCUCUUACUUUCCAUUUGCCUUCAUUAUACUUUGCCAUCCUUGAACUGCACUGAACUCUUCCUCAUUUCACAUCUUCCCAUACAAUAUUCAGAUCUACUAUUCCUCUGUCUAAUUUUACCAUGGCUGAUGUGAAAAUCAUCUUUGCUAGAGAAGCAGCAGUGAGGAGACAGACCUUUCUUCUCUUUGCUGCAUUCAUUCUUGCUCUUACAUAAAAUCCCAGCUGAAAAAGGGCAUUCUCUUCUGUGAUCAUAACUUCACAUUCUUCUUUUUCCUGAUGCUCUUCCCUUUGGAAUACAUUUUAAUACAUCCUCAUCCAUGGAAACGAUACUGUUUAUGUUUGCAAUUUUUCAAAUGUGCUUGGAGUUGGUGUUUUUCAAAUGAACGGUGUAUUAAGAUUUAAUCUGAACCUAGUCAGAUAAUAUUGACCUGCAAUGAAAAAGCUGUAUGAAUGAGAUAGCAGCAGACAGCUAAAAGUGCUGAAUGCCAAUUGCUGACUGAAAAAUGAUACCCAGAAUUUGGUGGUGGAGAGUAGAUGGGACAUUUAUGAAUGGAAAAGCUUUCUGAUUCCUUAAAUAUUUUGAUUUUUUCUUUUUUUUUAAGUUUCUCUGUUUUUUCCAACAUUUGCCAAAACUUGCCUGUGCCUGUAGGGUGGUACAGCUGCAAGUUUCCAGGAGCUGCUAAUCCCUCUGUAGGCUACCACAUCCUGAUAUCAGCUCUGAGGCCUCUCUGUUUUGCCACAGUAGACUUCCCCAAAAUUAAAACAAAGAACUGAAUCCAAGACUAUGGAUUCCUGAUGCAUCUCUGAGUGCUCAUUUCAGCUACAUUUCCCACUGUUCACUGUUAGCAGUCAUCAGGAAACAAGUACUUUGGUUCCAAAAUCAGGAUCUCCUGAAACAAAUCCCGAGGUGUUACAGUAUUGCCACAUUGUGUUAGGGCCACAAUGAGCUGGCUGUUGCCCAAAGCAGCUUUUAAUCCAGGUCAUGUAUAUGGAAGAUAGGCAAGGGAAGCUGAUUCUGCAUAUAUCUGAGUUGCCUGGGUUAAAUGUGGUGAAUUAUUGCAGCAAAUUCAUUCUAAACCUUCCCCUUCAGUUUUUCACAAAUUCCAAAUGUGGAUGUUGCUCUAAAUGAAAAGAAACAAUUAAAAUGCCUUUCUGAAUGCAUUUGAAAUGAAAUAAAUUAUUGUAAUUUCCCUGGGCAAGCCAACUCUUUGGAGGGGGCAAAAGUUGCAAAUGGAAAAACAAACAAACAAAUGAGUGAGUAACUGGGAUGUGCUGCCAGAGAAUCAGAAACAAGCCUGGUAGAAGGGGGAGGGAAAGGCUCUGCCCUGGGACAAUUUGUAGAAACCAGAAUGUGGGAGAGAGUUGAAAUGAACAAGAGAAAAAAAACUUCCACUGUUUUUUUUUUGUUUUGUUUAAUUUUUUUGUUGUUUUUUUUUAAUCCAGAUAAUCAGGUUACCAGGACCCAUGAUGCUGCUAUGAAAGACGUCUGACUUCAAGGCCUUUGAAAAAAAAAAUAGGGAUUUCCAGUUUUGUUGGUCAAGUUUUUCCUUUACAGGGGUUUCUUUAGCCACACAACUAAGAGGUGGGUCCCUUGGUUGGAACUGUAAAGGGGAAGAGUGAAUGAUGGUGCCAGAUGUCCCAAGUUAACAGAGAGUGAGAAAAGCCUGACUGCCAGCUGCCUUUCUUGCCUUCCAAAUCUCAGACCAGUGAGAAAUCGAGACAUGGUUUAGGUCUGUGUGCAGGUACGCAGCCUGCUUCACCUCCCAUCAACUGGGGAAGGGAAGAGUGCUGCAGAGCCGCUGAUUGUCUGCUCUCUGAAGACUUCCUGUUAGGGAGAAUGCUCUACUGUCCAUUUAGGGUAGUAUUAGAGCUGCUCAGAGCUGCUGAGGCAUGCAGAGGAGCUGCAGAUGGGGCUGAGAGUACAGCUUGAUACUUCCCUGUUCAGCCACCAGUUACAGCAUUAUCAGGCGCUCACCAGAGGUGGGUACCAAGACUCCUAGGACGGCUGAAGGCAAAGCAGGAGGUCUGCUUUUAAUGAAAAGAAGAUCGAGGCAAUGAGAGGUGAAGUGUCUUGGUAAGUAACGUUUUUUUCCAUUUUCUUUGUCCAAUCCUCCUGUUGCUCUCUGGUGUUUCUUCCUCUUUGUCUUCUUUCCAACAUUUCUGCCUCACUUACUAGUCCCAUUCUCACUAUCUCCUAUCUAUCUUUCAACCAUCUUUCUUUAUUUACUCUUCUCCAACAAUUGCACUGAAGAGAGCUCGUGAUAGAAAUUAUUUUUACCUUGGCAGCAGCUUUUUACCUUUAUUUUUUUCCUAAAUGUCUGGGAUGGGUCUAGGCAGCUCUCCCCACUUUCAUCAUCUCUCUUCACAUCCCUCGUGACCCUGAGCCCUAGUCAGCAAUCUGAUGUCUGCCAUGAGAGUAUAUCCCAUGAUCCAAAGCCACAAUCAGACUAAGGUGUUGUAACACUGUGUGUUGCUUUACCUGCUUACCACGCUUGUUCUGCCGCUUUCUAGGAAUUGCACACCUGUGCCAGGUUUUUCUCACAGAAUAAUAAUGACAGCACUGUCGCCUUUUGCACGUCUCUCCUCCUUGCUCCUGUGCCCAUCUUCCUCUCCUAAGCUUUGUGGUUCAGUCUCCUGGCUGGUGCAGUUUAGCCAGGAUAUGGGAGACUUGUAUUUAGGCUCUGCCUGAGGCAAUUUGAACUUUAAUCUCUUGGCCCCUGAAUUUGCACCCUACCCAGGAGAUCAUCAACUCUUCUGUGAGGAGGGUGACCUGAGUCCUUUCUUUGAGCAGGAAAGCUUGAGCUUGACUUUUCAGUCUUGUAGUGGAGACACUCACCUGGGUGGGGAAACCACGUCUGCCAGGGCCUGCCCCAGUCAGUACUUAAGACCAAGUAUGGAGGCAUUCCCUGGAAGACAGUAGCAAAGCCCAGGUUUCUUGCUUUCAGUAGUGCUCUGAGAGCAAGCACACAGAACGAUCAAUUCAAUCCAUUUAAUUAUUCCAUACGAGCUGGAACAGCUCCAACAGGAUGGACUGGAGAAAGACCCUGCUCAACAGGAUCCUUUUAGAACUGCACUGAUCUCACUUGGCUGCCAUGGGUCAGCUCCCUCAUACUCCAGAGCAGCCUGCCUCAGCACCACUGCCUUGAUAUGAGACUGGGUAGUGAGGACAUGUGCAGAGACUGGAGGGGAGGGAAAUGAGCUCCUGAACAUAAACUUGUUAUCCAUGGUGUCAGGUUUGGAGUUGCAGCUGAAACAAACACCUGCCAGUGCUGCCUCAGUUACCAUUCUGGACAGGAGUGGCAGCAAAUACGUGGUGGAGGGAAAAGAAUUCUAUUAAAAGACAGCACGGCACACUGGAGCACUACAAGGCAAAUUGCUUUUAAAGGUGGAAAUACAAUAAAAAUAGACUAAAGAGUCUUAAAAUACAAAAUCAAUGCCAAAACAGAGAAAGCCAGAAUGACUUCCAGAUCUCAGCUAUAGGCAGUUGUCCCCCAACAUAAGCCAGAUACUGUCAGUGUGUGGGAGACAUCCAGGAAUUUUCUCUCCUGCAAAAAUAUUAGGGACAUUAUAUGUUUUAACUGUAAUGGAAAACUAGAGCUCUAGUACUCAGUUCCAAAGGAGAGCACUAACCAUUGGAAGGGAUGUGGUACAGGGUGUGUGUGUGUGUGUGUGUGUGUGUGUCUGCUCCUUUUCUCCUUGGGAUUCUAUAGCUUCCUUCAUUCUUCGCUUCUCUCAUAUUACAGAAAGAAGGUAAUUUUUCCUGGCCAUUUACUAAAGCUCAUUAAAGACUGAAGAGAACAAACAAUGCUAUUCCUUAGAGACUACCAUUCAAAGUCAUUCUACAAUUCUCUGUUCUAAUACUUGAGACAAAUUAAUUAUUCCUUAGUGAAAAGUGUAUAAUUCCUAUUCUUCAUUUUUGGGGUGGGGAGUGGGGAAUAAUAAUAGGAAGUUUAUAUCUGAGUCAAAAGCUGUCUGAGCUGAAGGGAAAUGAGAAAAAAUGUGUGUUCCAAGAAGAGUAAAAGCAAUUAUUCUAAUAAUAAUUCCAGGGAUAUUAAUGUCUUUUUAAAGUAGAUUGCUUUCAAAUAAACACCAAAGUUGAAGGCAUAGGAAAGGCUGGUUUAUUUAUUAAUCAUUCCAAAAGUGCAUUUUUCUAAAUGAACAAGUGCAUGAGCAACUUCGCUGGCACAUAUUAAAUUUAGUUAAACGGCAACUUGUAAAUAUCUAAAAACUUCUGUAACCAGAGACUAAUUUGUUUAACGUGUAGAAAAUGUUCUGUGGAUGUGAGGAGCUACAUAUUAAACUUCAAAGCAAAAUGCUCCAGAGAUUACACCAUCUUAAAGACUGCAUAUUGGAAAGGCCUUUAUACAUUAAACAUAAAGGACUUUUAAUUCUUUUCUAUUUUGAAUACUUGUCAAUCUGUGUGACUCAUGCUUAAGAUUGUAAACUGUCAUUUUAAGGUGUGAUGUCCAAGUUGAGACCUGGACCAUGAUUUGCAAGGGGCUGGCUUUUCUCUUUCAUCUCUAUUAAUUAAUCCUGUUUCAGUUUGCCCAGCGUACACUUCUGUUGACAUCACCUUUUCCAUAUACUUUAAAGAGUCCCCAGAGAGAUCUACUGCAGAACAAAAACUGGACAGAGAAUACAUUUGGAAACCAUUUUAUUUCUCAAUUACCAACCAAAACGUAUGGAAAAGAUUUACACUCUAUCUGAUUUACACAAUAAUUAUACUUUGAAAGCUUAGAAAUAAAUGGCUUGAUCCCUGAAAUCAUUAGUUACUAUACCAAAUGUAAUUGGUGUAAACUAAUGAGUUUACUGGAUGGCUGACCCUUAAUUACUGAUUAUAGUUAAACUCUAGCCAAUCAAAAUUUCGUUUACUUAUAAAAGUACAGCAUAGUAUUAACAAGCAUUACAUUUCCAAGCAAGCAGCCUUAUGAUUAGUUGUAGCACACAACUCAAGCCUGUUCAGGGCUAUCAAAAGCAGCUUUUUAAUAACAGGGCACUAAGCAACCAUCAUUCUCUUACCUCAGCUUCUAUCAGACAAACAGAAAGAAACCACAUAAUUAAUCAUCUCAUGCAAUAGAAAUAAAGCAUCUGGGCCAGAUCCAGGUGGGAUAUACACAGCCGCCUUAGUUCAAAGAGCUGCAAGAGGCUGGGGAUCCGCCUUAGGAUAACUGACAUGGGGAAUUCUGGCUCUCUUGGGGGAGCAGUAUGGGGCAUGGAAAUGAAAUACUGAUUGAUUGUGUGCAGUCCCAUGUGAUGUGGAGAAACCUAUCAACAAAACAGGUUUAAUAAUUCCUUGAAUUGAGGAGGAUUUCUUGGGCAGAUUCAGUAUGUGGUGAUAGGACUUUUGAUUACUGUACUAGCAAUCCCAAAAAUCCAGAAGUCAUAACUCCUCACUAUUUAUUAGAUCAAAUGAAGAAUGAUUUUUUAAAAUAGAAUACUAAAUGAGAACAAAUUAUUUUCAUUUGUCUCUGGUUGAUCUUGAAGAACUAAUAUUUUGCCUAACCAGGAAGACUCAAAAUUCCUACUAAAAAAGUUUAAAGCAGAUUUGUAUUUAGACCAUGAUUCCAGAGUUGGGACUUUAAACAGGUACACUAAAUAUUUUAAUAAAAUAAUAAGACUUUACAAUGCUUGCAGUCACAUCCUUAAAGGUACUUAAGGUACUUAAAUUACUCCAGUGAUUUAAAGAUACUGAAAUUUUCCAUCUCCUAGAUCAUUCCUGUGAAUCCUAAACUUCAGAUAGGAGAUUGAUACCAGAAGGCACAAGCAGAAGAUCAGGUGCUAUGGAGAUUUAGUGUGAAGAAUAUGUAUUUGCUGGAGCUCUACACUGACCAACUCUGCAGAUGACCCAACAGACCUCACAGCUGCAAGGGUUAAUUCUGUCACAAUUGCAGGUCUCUCCUAUUUUGUUUUUCUCGAUGAUGUUCUCUCUGGGGCUUGCCCUUCAUAAGGGGCUAGGCUCAGCAGAGGAAAAACCUUACCUAAUGGCCCUUUGGAACAAGUACUGUAACACUUGCCCACUUAUUAGUAUGAACAUUUUCUUAAAACUCAAAAAUUGAAGAACGAAUUAGUUCCCAGAGAAUCUGCACAUGGGUUAAAGUGAAAUUUUUACUGAACUCCUGUUUGUGAGAUGCAUCUGGGGUCAAGAAAAGGUUAAAGUUGUUUACUGCCUUCAAGCUCUGGUCUUAUAAGUUAAUUCAGAACUGUGCUUUGAGCAGCUACAGAGAGUAAGUCCUUGCAGCAGUGAAUUGCUGGUUUGAUGUCAAGGUCCGUGGGCCUUAAUCAUAAAAUUAGUUUGUUUCUUAAGGAAACCCUGGCAGGGACUUUAGGGUUAUAUAAAGUCAUUAUACUGUUUUAGAACACAACUUUAAAGAUGCCUUGGAAUGAUCAGAGUUUGUGGGAAGGGAUAAUUUUUUUUAUUAUUUGUGGAAUAUCCUCAAGCUGUCAUAGCUACAGCACUGCUACUUGGAAUAGCUGUUCCACAGUUCAAAAGAAAAGACAAAGGAUUUGUUGAAGCCUAAGUCAGGCAAUUAGGGCAUAUCUGUCCAGAGAAAGCUCAUUGAAUUGAAUGGAUCCCAUGUACUUCCUGACAACUGACUCCAGUUUUGUAGGAGCUGUAUAUUUGGGGCAAUCAAGGUGUUCUAUUACAAUUCCACAAGAGCGGAAAGAGGGCCUAUGAAGCUCUACAAGCUCUGCUUUUCACUGUUCUCUGUUGGAGAAUUCAGGGAUGAGCAAUUUUGAAAGUCAUGGAAAAGAAAGAAGGCAUAGUUUCCAAAACUUUGGGAUCCUGUGAAGGUGAAGACAAAGGAAACACUAAACUACACAACUUUCCUGUCCACCCUCUGCACAGCAGUGCUGCAAUGCUGCACCGAGCCAAACAGAGAAAUCAUAAUAACAGAAACACAUUUGUCUGGCAGAGUGAACAGAAGAAAUGUUGCAGAAUUGAGAUACGAAGAACCUCAGUGCAGAAUAGAAGGAGAACUGUCAUUCUGAUUGUUUGUCAUUAUUGUUUCAUGUCCAGUUAAGUGAACUUAAAAUGACAGUUGUGUCAUAACUGCUGGCAUCUAUGUAAAUUUCAAAUCAAAUAUGAUAGAGGCAUUUCUGCCAGACACAAGUCACCAGGCUGCUCUUCCUCUUCAUUUUUGUAACCCUCCAUUUUCUCAUGCCAUUGCUGGUAGCCCUUAAAUUAAAAAGACAACUUCAACAGGG